rnacentral:rRNA from 1 species
GAUGAACGCUGGCGGCGUGCCUAAUACAUGCAAGUCGAGCGAACAGACGAGGAGCUUGCUCCUCUGACGUUAGCGGCGGACGGGUGAGUAACACGUGGAUAACCUACCUAUAAGACUGGGAUAACUUCGGGAAACCGGAGCUAAUACCGGAUAAUAUAUUGAACCGCAUGGUUCAAUAGUGAAAAACGGUUUUGCUGUCACUUAUAGAUGGAUCCGCGCCGCAUUAGCUAGUUGGUAAGGUAACGGCUUACCAAGGCAACGAUGCGUAGCCGACCUGAGAGGGUGAUCGGCCACACGGGAACUGAGACACGGUCCAGACUCCUACGGGAGGCAGCAGUAGGGAAUCUUCCGCAAUGGGCGAAAGCCUGACGGAGCAACGCCGCGUGAGUGAUGAAGGUCUUCGGAUCGUAAAACUCUGUUAUUAGGGAAGAACAAAUGUGUAAGUAACUAUGCACGUCUUGACGGUACCUAAUCAGAAAGCCACGGCUAACUACGUG